rnacentral:rRNA from 1 species
AAAACGGAGAGUUUGAUCCUGGCUCAGGAUGAACGCUGGCGGUAUGCUUAACACAUGCAAGUCGAACGAAAUCUUCGGAUUUAGUGGCGGACGGGUGAGUAACGCGUGAGAAUCUGGCUUCAGGUCUGGGACAACCACUGGAAACGGUGGCUAAUACCGGAUGUGCCGAGAGGUGAAAGAUUAAUUGCCUGAAGAUGAGCUCGCGUCUGAUUAGCUAGUAGGU